rnacentral:tRNA from 1 species
GCACCCGUAGCUCAACUGGAUAGAGCAUCUGACUACGGAUCAGAAGGUUUGGGGUUCGAAUCCCUACGGGUGUACCA